rnacentral:rRNA from 1 species
CAGCCGCCGCGGUAAUACGAACUGUGCAAACGUUAUUCGGAAUCACUGGGCUGAAAGGGUGCGUAGGCGGACUUGUAGGUCAGGUGUGAAAUCCCACGGCUCAACCGUGGAAUUGCGCUUGAAACCACUCGUCUUGAGGGGAUCAGAGGAGAGCGGAACUGAUGGUGGAGCGGUGAAAUGCGUAGAUAUUAUCAGGAACACCGGUGGCUACGGCGGCUCUCUGGGAUCUUUCUGACGCUGAGGCACGAAAGCUAGGGGAGCGAACGGGAUUAGAUACCCCGGUAGUCCUAGCUGUAAACGAUCUGUACUAGUCCGUGGGGACCCCCACAUCUUCUCGGACGUAGCGAAAGUGUUAAGUACAGCGCCUGGGGAGUAUGGUCGCAAGGCUGAAACUCAAAGGAAUUGACGGGGGCUCACACAAGCGGUGGAGGAUGUGGCUUAAUUCGAGGCUACGCGAAGAACCUUACCUAGACUUAACAUGUUUGAGAACGUCUGUGAAAGCAGAAAGUGCCCUUCGGGGAGCUCUUACGUAGGUGCUGCAU